rnacentral:rRNA from 1 species
AUUGAACGCUGGCGGCAGGCCCAACACAUGCAAGUCGAACGGUAGCACAGAGAGCUUGCUCUCGGGUGACGAGUGGCGGACGGGUGAGUAAUGUCUGGGAAACUGCCCGAUGGAGGGGGAUAACUACUGGAAACGGUAACUAAUACCGCAUAACGUCGCAAGACCAAAGUGGGGGACCUUCGGGCCUCACACCAUCGGAUGUGCCCAGAUGGGAUUAGCUAGUAGGUGGGGUAAUGGCUCACCUAGGCGACGAUCCCUAGCUGGUCUGAGAGGAUGACCAGCCAAACUGGAACUGAGACACGGUCCAGACUCCUACGGGAGGCAGCAGUGGGGAAUAUUGCACAAUGGGCGCAAGCCUGAUGCAGCCAUGCCGCGUGUAUGAAGAAGGCCUUCGGGUUGUAAAGUACUUUCAGCGGGGAGGAAGGCGGUGAAGUUAAUAACUUCACCGAUUGACGUUACCCGCAGAAGAAGCACCGGCUAACUCCGUGCCAGCAGCCGCGGUAA